rnacentral:lncRNA from 1 species
CAUGGCAGUCGGCUGGCUCUAGGGUGUGGGCAUGCUGCGUGGGUGCUGGCGGAGACUUCUUUGUCAUGCCCGCGCGGAUCGUCCGGGGGCAGCGGGACUCCCACCGCAUGUCACAGCGUCUGAGCCCCUUCGCCUCCCCUCUCCUCACUGCGCGUCCCAGGCCUAGCAUGAGGAUGUGUUUUUAGGUGGAUGGAAAAGCUAGCAACUGGGUGUGUAAAGCAGCCCUUAACAUGACCACUAUGAAUCUCAGCAGUGAACUUCGACAAGAAAAAACAAAUAUGUUUGUAAAGUGAUAUUGUGAUACUGGUCUGAUCGGGCAAAACCACUGCUGAUGCCUACCUAUGAUUGGAAGAGAACAUAGGCCACAGACUUUGGAAUGCUGACCUCAUAUUAGGCAAGUCUGUUGCUCACUUUCCCACCCCUGCGCAACUCCUGUUUUCCUGUCCUUUCUUCGUAUCAUUAAACUCAUAUCAGAGUCCAG